rnacentral:lncRNA from 1 species
CCAUUUCCCACACCGGUUUUUUUGUAAAUAUUAUAAAAAGAUAUCAACAUUUGUUUUUAAAAUCACAGUCUUAACCUGUAUAUAACGAUUUUAAACAUAAAAGCACCCCACCACACUUUGUAAAUAUCUGUGAGAAUAUUUGUUUCAGCAUGAAACCUAUUUAUCCAAAGCGGGAGUGCUCCGAUAUAAAUUUAAAGAACAAAAAAUUGGUUACUUUCCCCCUUACUUAUAUUCCCUAUCAAAAAAAUGUUCGUUGCGUUAGAAUAAAGUACAAAGAACUUCUGAAAGAUUUGCCUUCGACUGCAAUUAUAUUGUAUGCUGGCAAAACAUAACUAUCCAUAGCCGCUGCAUGUUUAUGCACCUAUCCUGAUUGAUUGAGGGGCCUGUCGUUCAGCAGUUAUCGUUUGUUGAUGUUGUUCAUUUGUAUUUUCCCGUUUAGAUAUACAUGAUAUAUAAAUUAGAUCGUUGGUUUUCCUGUUCGAAUUGUGUACGCUAAUAAUUUUGGGGUCCUUUGUAGCCUGCUGUUUGGUCUGUAUCAAAGCCCUUUGUGAAAGGCCGUAUUUUGACCUGUGUUUGUUAUUAUCAGGUUGAGAACAAUCCUCCCUCAGACAAGGGGUCAUUUUACUGAUGUAGAAAAAAAUAGAAAUACCAAGGAUUUGUUAGUUCUUCUAUACAAAACCUUUGAAAACUUAGAAUUUUGUACUCAAAA